ACAAAAAUAAAAGAAAGGAAGGAAAAUAAUAAUAAUAAAAUUACCAUUUUAUCCUUUUUAGGUAAGUUUAGGAGGGCAAAAUCAUUUGAGCCCUCUCACCUCUCUAUUCUCGCUUUCUCUCUCCAACUGCAAUGUACAAAAUUUACAAAAAUCAGACUAUCAACUCAUGUCGGCAAAAUCAUUUCAGCCUUCCCUAGUCGCCUCAUCUCACACUUCUCUCCCUCUCCAACUGCAAUCUACAAAAUCUACAAAAAUCACAAUAUCAAAACCCAGCAAAAUCAUUUCAGCCUCCCUUAUCGCCUCAUCUCUCAGUUCUCUCUCUCUCUCUCUCUCUCUCUCUCUCUCUCCAACUGCAAUCUACAAAAUCUACAAAAAUCAGAAUAUCAAAAUCUACAUUAGUUAUUGAAUCGUGCUUGGUCUAUGUUGAUGCAUGCUUGAAGGUAUUUUUUUUGUGGAUGAUGAUGCUGUUGCCGAGAGAAUCAGAAAUUAUGAAGUGUUGAUGUUGCCGAGAGAAUCAGAAAUUAUGUAUUUUUUUUGAAAGCAUGAUACACCAGGUUUUACUAUAUUGGAGGGAUUUGGAGGGAUAGGCCUUCCCAAUCCUUUCUUUCUUUUGUUUUCCUUCCAUCCAAACACACAUAUCCUUAAUAUUUUCUUUCUUUUUUCUCCAAAUCCUUCUAAAUCCCUCAAUCCAGCAUUUGAAUAUUUAUUGUUGAAUAUAAAAAAAAUAUUAUUAAUUAAUUUUAAAAUAAAACUCUAUCACAUUUAUUUAUUUAUUUUGAAUUUUUUAAUAAAAAAAAUCUAAUUAAAAAAAGAAAUAUAUAAAUAAAAUAAAAUAAUUUUUAUAAAAUAAUUAAAAAAUAUAUGAAAUGAAAAAUUCGUAAAUUACAAAACAUUCGUCGCUUUACUUAGUAUAUAUAAAUUACACAUAAAUGUCAUUACAAGAAAAUUGAUGUUUUACGUCAAUUACAGACAUGCAUAAACAUAUAUAUAUAUAUAUAUAUAUAUAUAUAUAUAUAUAUAUAUAAAUUAACAUACACACAUAAAUAUCACUACAAAAAAAUUGAUGUUUUACGACUGUAAUUGACGAUAUGCAUAAACAACAAGCCUUCUUAUGUACUAAUUUACGACAUAUGCUUUCAAGCAAGUAAUUAAAAGCUAAAAAUAGUUAUAUUAACGGUUUGCACUUAAUUGCCCUUUGAAUUUUCCUUUUAAGGCGUGCAUUUUCUACUAUAACGACUUGUAUGCUAUAUUGUUAAUAUCGGGCCAAAGUUUCUUCAAAGAUUACCACUUUCCCUCCAAUAUGUGGGCCUAAAAUUCCUUUGAAGACCCAUUUUCCCUCUUAUAUGACUUAAAAAAAUAUUCCCGCACUAUAAGCCUAUUAUUAUACACAGAUUGUUUGCUCCCUAUUUGUAAACUCCCUAAAUUGCAUCAUAUUCUGGAAAAAAAAAAGAUUAAAAUAAAAAUUAAAAAUUUGCCAUAUGAAGAAUAGGAAAGUAGACAAAGGAUCAGUAGGUAUUUCCAUCUUUUCCAGUGUCGAAGUGCCAAAACAAAAACGUAGUAUUGAUGAAGAAUAGGUUUUCUAGUACAGGAUCCUCAACAUCAACAAGAUCACGCCGCAUCUUACCACUGUAACCGAAAUACAAGUCGUAGCCGUAGCGAUAUCCUUUCCGCAGGUCUCCUUUCGAUCAAAUUAAAUCUCAACCGCUUGCGUAUCUAUUUGAUAUUUUUUUUCUUUGGGAGUCUGAUCAAGUCCGGGCGAUCUGCAAUCGUUCCCACACUCUAUCGCGGAAUGGACUACUGAGCUAUGGUUAUCGCCUAUUUCUCGGCUUCCACUAGGCAAAAUUAGCUCAUGGAUUAACUUGGAUUCCAAAGAUGAGAUAAUUCGGAAGGAUUCUGAGAUUGCUUUGAAGCAAGAAAUAGCCUGGGCUUCUCAUAUCUCUUUGUAGGUGUGUAUCUUUGUUAACCAAUUUGCAGUGAAAUUUUGGGUUGUAAAACUUGAAACUUUUCACCCUUAUUUCUUGCAGUGCGUCUUUGUUCAUCUUUUAGAAAAGGAUUUAGGUCCUAAUUUCUGGUUCUGAAUUUGUAUUGUACUCCUUUUAGAGUAUUUUUUAACAAUGCAAAAAAAAUAAAAAAUAAAAAAAAAUAAUUUGUAAUAUUACAAUGAGAGAUUUUUUAUUUUUUUCAUGCAAGUUAAUUUAUUAAAAUAAGGGCUAAACAGCAUUCACUAGUGGAGUAUCCUCAUAGACUCAUACUUUACCGAUUCUAUUCUUUUCUAUUGAUGAUGUUUAUUAUCAGUGCUUGAUACAGUAUAAAGUUCAUAUAUAAAAUGAUGCUUGAAGAUGAUGAAUGGUUUGCCUUUUAUGCUUGCUUUCACAUUCUUCUAAAUUGUUUCACAAGAAGCCUGCAGUUUUCACAUUUUACAUUUCUCCUGUAGGCAUGUCUACUUCCUGCCCCUAAAGGAGCAUCAUGUGCUAAUUAUACUCGAUGCGUUAAUCAGAUUCUAUAGAACCUAAAUAGUAUACAGUUACCAAUCUUAAAUCACAGUUUAUACUCCUUUGUGUUUAACUCUCUAUAAAUUUUGUAUUGUUUUUUAUUGUCUAUGUUCUUGUUAUUUACUUCCAUCUUGAAGUUGUGGCUUAGGAUUCCAUUGGAGAAGUCUGAUGAUGAUGCUAUGAGUGGGAACUCUGAUAAUUUGUGGGAACUAUCUAGACUGAAGAAUGAUAGUCCAAGAGCCAAUAUUGCCACAUCAGGUUGCACUGCAUUACCACUUGAGAAAGACAUUCGAAUUGAAAAGAAUGUGAUUGAAGGAUCGAUUGUUUCCGUCAAGAUAUUGUACGGACAAGGGGGAGCUUAUAUAUAUUCAAAAUCGAUGGUUAUGUUCUUAUUUUGAAAAAGAUGAUUGUUUCUUUUUGAAUUUAGUAGUUUAGUUUUUAUUCCUUGACCCUAUCAUAUUGGAUGGCUGGGAACUUUUUUAAUAUUCACAGUGGCUUUAAAUUUUUUUUUUUUUUUACACGGUACUAGACUUGAUGUUUUUGGUUUAAUGAAAAGUAAUGGAUUUUUGUUAUUCUUAUUAA